rnacentral:rRNA from 1 species
UACGGAGGAUGCAAGCGUUAUCCGGAUUUAUUGGGUUUAAAGGGUGCGUAGGCGGGACAGUAAGUCAGUGGUGAAAGCCUGCGGCUUAACCGUAGAAUUGCCAUUGAUACUGCUAUUCUUGAAUGUAGUUGAGGUAGGCGGAAUGUGUAAUGUAGCGGUGAAAUGCUUAGAUAUUACACAGAACACCGAUUGCGUAGGAAGCUUACGAAGCUAUUAGUGGCGAUGAGGCACGAAAGCGUGGGGAGCGAACAGG